UAAAGAAGAGAAUGGAAGAACUCUAGAGAAACAGAAAAUUAUCGAUGCUUUUUUGAUAUAUAUUAUUAGUACAGGCCAUGAAUCCUCUGGACUCACCAUUAUUUGGGCUUCCAUUUCUCUGCAGGAACACCCUAAGAUUCUCCAGAAGUUAGAGGGAGAACAAGAUGCUAUUGUUGAAAAUUGAGCACCGGACCAGGAUUUGACUCUUAAAAGAGACAUGUAAAAUGGACUAACUAUCACAGGUGCCUCAUUGCAAAACAAGUUUAUGGUGUUUUUAAAAAGGUAUGAUUCGUUACAUAUUCUCUCACUGAAUACAAAAUGAGGCUUUUUAUGAAGGUUCUGAUGAGACACUUUGGGUACAUUCUAUCUAAGGCCUUCCGGGAAGCAAAGAGGGAUGGCCAAAUGAACGGCAUACAUCAUACCAAAAGGCUGGAAGGUGAUGACUUGGUUCAUGUAAGUUCACCUGGAUCUUGAGAUUGGCAUGAAUCCAAAUAAAUAUGAACCUUCAAGAUGGGAGGUAUGUAGAUAUAAUAGAUUUGUGACGCAUUCAACAAUCUAACUGUCUUUGUAAUUUGAAGUUGGUGUUGCAAA